rnacentral:tRNA from 1 species
GAGAAUGUUAAAAGAACUGCUAAUUCUUUACCCCAUACCUAACUAAUAUGGCUUUCUCA